ensembl:misc_RNA 7SK 7SK RNA
AUAGUGAAAGGAGAGGAAUGAUACCUUCCUUCCUGCCAAGAUGGUUAUAGCUCCUCAUUCACCACUACAUGAACAUCAUUCCCAAAGUUGUGUGCUCCGUCGAGGAGAACAACCUUCUCCAAUAGAGACGUUCUUCAGUUGAGGGAAUAUGGGCAGCUGUAAUACUAUACCAAACAGAACUGCCGAAACAUGGCCUCAAUGUCCAUCUGCAAGAAUGUAGAGUAGCCAAGCUUCCCAGACACUAGACACAUAUAAAUUAGAUAUUGCAUGUAGCAAUCUGUAUUU